AGGAGCCGUGCGAGAUGAAAGUCUCAUGCACGGUUUUGCAUGAGAGAAAGAAGCGAGGAAUCCUCUUUGCGACUCUGAC
rfam:Hordeum vulgare subsp. vulgare, WGS project CAJW01000000 data, contig: morex_contig_509744